GUUGUUCAUUAUGUUCAAUGUCAUCCAAAUUGAACUUUGUGGCCAAAUUUGCAUGCAACUAUUCUAAUCAGCUCAUUUCAGCUCAAUAACACUCGCUUCUAUAUCACACACCUUAUGCAAGAACGUAAACCAAAACAAAACUCAAAAUCAUCAUUUCAAAGCCAGUCCUUAUGGGUGGAACUUGGAAGUGGAUAUUUGGUAAGGUUUACAAGGGGCCUUUGGGAGAUGGUUCACUUGUUAUUGUUGUAAAAAGACUGGAG
rnacentral:misc_RNA from 1 species